GUUUUCAUCUUUUUCACUUCUUAGCUCCAUUCUGAGUAAUUUCAAGAAGAUUUGAGGUCAAACUGGCAUUCAAAGUUGCUACUUUUUUUUGUCGGUGGGUUGUUAUUGACCACAUUUUUGCUCUUUCUGUAAGUUACUAUUUGCUCAUUUCCUGUUUCUGUGCUAAAAAGGUGUGAUUUUUGAGGAUAAAGCUCGCAACUUUUUCUUCCGUUUUGCUGGAUUCUUAGAUUUUACUCAAACAAGUUUGCACAGAUUUUGGGGGGAGGGUGUUGUCUUCUAGUGCUUCACUUCAGCUGAGUAAAGAUCCCUAAUUCAUUGCUUUUGAUUGUGCAAUAUCUAGAUUUAACUUGCCAAAAUUGGCUCUUUUGACCACCACUUUUAAGCUCCCUUGAUUUCAGAGCCUGCUAAAGCCUAUUACUUGCAUUCUUUUUGCGUAAGUUUGUUUACAUGUCCAAGAUUGUUUUUUUCUAGAAUUUUUCUAAAUGGGGUUCUGUGAAUUCCAAGCAUGGAUAUUCUUGAUCUGAAGAGGUGUUGAUAUUCCUUAAUUGUUUAUUGAUUACAGGUAACUUCUGUGAAAGAAUUAAGUGGGCAGAUUUGCCAGAUUUGUGGAGAUGAGAUUGAAGUUACAGUAGAUGGGGAGCCAUUUAUUGCUUGCAAUGAAUGUGCAUUCCCUGUUUGCAGACAAUGCUAUGAGUAUGAAAGAAGAGAAGGAAAUCAAGCUUGCCCUCAAUGCAAAACUCGGUUCAAGCGCAUUAAAGGGAGCCCCAGAGUUGAUGGAGAUGAUGAAGAUGAUGAAUUUGAUGACUUAGACCAUGAGUUCGAUUACCAUGGUAACCCUCGGUAUAUGUCUGAGGCUGCACUCUCUUCUCGCCUUGGCCGUGGUACCAAUCAUAAUGCUUCUGGGCUUACUACCCCAUCAGAAGUAGAUCCUGCAGCUCUUCACUCAGAGAUCCCUCUUCUUACUUAUGGUCAAGAGGUAAUCCCUCAAGAUUGUCAAUUUUUUUUGUACUCACUCUGUUGAAUUUUGGCUAAAAAGUUGCAACAUUUGAAUUUGUCGCUUAGGAUGAUACAAUUUCCGCUGACAAGCAUGCUCUUAUCAUCCCACCGUUUAUGGGUCGUGGAAAGAAAGUUCAUCCUGUGCCUUAUUCUGAUUCCAUGUCGUGUAAGUUAAAACAAGUUUGUGCUAAAUUUUAAUUCUUUAACCAAUUUUCCAGUAUUAGAGGGCCUAAUGUGUUUGAUACUUUGCAGUGCCUCCUCGGCCCAUGGAUCCUAAGAAAGAUUUGGCAGUUUAUGGAUAUGGGACUGUUGCAUGGAAGGAAAGAAUGGACGACUGGAAGAAAAAACAGAAUGAUAAAUUGCAGGUGGUUAAGCACGGAGGCGGUAAAGGCGGUGGUACCGAUGGAGAUGAGCUGGAUGAUCCCGAUUUGCCCAAGUAGGUGUAUGCGUUCCAUUUUUGUAACCAGCCUCAUGAGUGAUCUGUGAUAUGACUUGCACUUUAUUUUAUUUGUGGGAUGGUGACUUGCAGUUGUUGCAAGCUGUAGAUAUUAUUGAUUGUGUGGGAACUAUGUGCUGAAGAAAAUACUCAAGUACUACGGUUUUCUUACUUUAGUACGAGGCGUGAAAAGCUGGUCAUGUAACAUGUGUUUCGAUUUUUUAUGAGGUCCGUUUAGUUGAGACUGCCUUAAGAAGUUUGAUCAUACCAGACGGCAACUUAGUCUCGUGCAGGUUACUGCGCCUUUCAAAAAACUAAUUCAGUUGUCAUUCUGUUUCAAUAAGUAUGUGAAAGGGAAAUCUCAUUAAUGGAAAUGGUAGCCUCACUGAGCCGUUGAUCAAAAGGGAUACAAAAUUUAAUCAUGGAUGGAUGUCCAUCCACCUUUUUGCUGCAGCUGCUGCGUUGAUGUAGUUUUGGCACCCUGGGGUAGACUUGCUUGUGACUUGGAUGUACUUGCUUAUUGAUCAAACUAGAAUCUCUGCACUGUCUAAUUGCCUUUGGAGUUAUUCUCCUUUUGAAAGAAUCUUAAUGACAAAGAGACUUCCCAAUGAAAUUAAUUACCCUUUUUUCUUAACAAAAAAUUAAGCAAAUGUAAGUUGUACUUGCAUAAAAAAAGAUAUGAAACAUAGGGAUAAAUGUUGCAGAUUAGUCACUUGAAUUGAAGCAUUUUUGUACAGCAUAGUCCAUCUCUUUUGCCACUUCCCUUUUGUUGUUGGGGUAUAACAUGUUCCAUGUCUAUUUAUUCCAGCGAGGACCUUAGUUUCUAAAACCCAAUCACUGCUUUAUUUGAACAUUCUUUGUAUCAGUAAGAUUUGUCUUUCUUAUUUUAUCUCUGUUUGCAGGAUGGAUGAAGGCAGACAACCACUUUCGAGAAAGCUGCCUAUUUCCUCUAGUAGGCUGAGCCCAUACAGAUUACUCAUUUUAGUUCGUCUUGCUGUUGUUGGGCUCUUUUUCCACUAUAGAAUAACGCAUCCUGUCAAUGAUGCAUAUGCAUUGUGGCUGAUUUCUAUCAUAUGUGAAAUAUGGUUUGCGGUAUCGUGGAUAUUUGAUCAGUUCCCUAAAUGGUUUCCGAUUGUGCGAGAGACAUACCUGGACAGGCUAUCUCUGAGGUAUACGCCUAAUAUAAUAGGUGUGUCUGUGUGUAUACAUACAUGCCUCUCUGUUCAUGUCCUUAUCUUAAAUGUUUUUGUACCUGGAUAGGCUAUCUCUGAGGUAUAUGCAUAAUAUAAUAGGUGUGUCUGUGUGUAUACAUACUUGCCUCUCUGGUCAUGUCCUUACCUUGAAUGUUUUUCUCAGGUAUGAGAAAGAAGGGAAGCCUUCUGGGUUAGCUCCUAUAGAUAUAUUUGUUAGUACGGUGGAUCCCAUGAAAGAACCUCCGCUUAUUACUGCAAAUACCGUUCUCUCCAUUC
rnacentral:lncRNA from 1 species